rnacentral:rRNA from 1 species
UACGGGGGGGGCAAGCGUUGUUCGGAAUUACUGGGCGUAAAGGGCUCGUAGGCGGCCAACUAAGUCGGACGUGAAAUCCCUCGGCUUAACCGGGGAACUGCGUCCGAUACUGGAUGGCUUGAGUUUGGGAGAGGGAUGCGGAAUUCCAGGUGUAGCGGUGAAAUGCGUAGAUAUCUGGAGGAACACCGGUGGCGAAGGCGGCAUCCUGGACCAACACUGACGCUGAGAAGCGAAAGCAUGGGGAGCGAACAGG